UGGAAGCUUCGCACUGGCAAG
rnacentral:misc_RNA from 1 species